rnacentral:tRNA from 1 species
AGGCUUGUAGCUCAGGUGGUUAGAGCGCACCCCUGAUAAGGGCGAGGUCGGUGGUUCAAGUCCACUCAGGCCUA